ensembl:misc_RNA 7SK 7SK RNA
GUAUCAUUAGUGUAAAGGAUGUCUGUCAUCCCACUGAUCACUAGGGUUGAUUUGGCUGAUCUGGCUAGCUGGGUUGGUGUCCCCUUCCUUCCGCAUUGCUCCAUGUGAGUCCCUCCCCAAGCUGCAUGCUCUGUUGAAGAGGAUGACCUUCUCUUAAUGGAGACAGAUUGGUCUUCAGUCAGUAUAGUAUAUAUGAGUAGCUGUGCUCCCCAGCUGGAACCUCCAAACAAGUUCUCAUGGCUAUUUUCCAUUCUAGUAUAAAAGGACUGGCAAUUCAGAUCAAUUGCACUUGCCAUGACCUGUGUAAAAGAACAU